CAAAGGUAGCAUAAUCAUUUGCCUAUUAAUUGUAGGCUAGAAUGAAAGGGUUAACGAAAUAAAAACUGUCUCAAUUAGUAACCUAAAAAUUAUUCCCUAUCUGAAGAAAGAUAGAUACUCUCGAAGGACAAGAAGACCCUAUAGAGCUUUAUAUUAACUAUAGAACCUACUAUAAAAAUAUUCGGUUGGGGCGACCCUGGGCUAACUAAUCACCCACUACAUAAAAGAUACAUAAAUCUACUAAAUGACCCUCUAAAGAUCAAAAAACCAAGCUACCUUAGGGAUAACAGGCUAAUCCCAUUCAAGAGUCCUUAUCAACAAUGGGGUUUGGCACCUCGAUGUUGGCUUAGGGUAUCUAUAUAGCGCAAAAGUU
rnacentral:rRNA from 1 species